GGAAGGGUGCAGCUCAGGGGUAGAGCAUGUGCUCAGCAUGCACAAGGUCCUGGGUUCAAUUCCCAGUACUGCCA
rnacentral:tRNA from 1 species